ensembl:lncRNA
ACCAGGCACAGAAUGUCAAGGAGUGCAGUAUAUCCCUUUGGGAGGAACAGUUUCAGGUGAGCUGAGCCAUGGCCAAACUUUCUUUGGUAAUGAACCCAGAAAGAAGAGUCUAUUAGUGGGUGGAGCUUCCCAGAGACAUUAGGACGAUACUCUAUUCUCUGAUGAGAUUUAAUUCAGUGCUGUCAAAGAUGGGUAGUGGGCUAGAUGAUCUUUGAAACUUUACUCUGGCAUUAUCUCAUAGUAGCCCAGAUACAGAUAUAUCUAUCUGCAAUCUUAAGGUAAGAAAACCUAAAUUCUUAUAA